rnacentral:misc_RNA from 1 species
GAUGAAGAACGCAGCGAAAUGCGAUAAGUAGUGUGAAUUGCAGAAUUCAGUGAAUCAUCGAAUCUUUGAACGCACAUUGCGCCCCUUGGUAUUCCAUGGGGCAUGCCUGUUCGAGCGUCAUUUGUACCUUCAAGCUCUGCUUGGUGUUGGGUGUUUGUCUCGCCUCUGCGUGUAGACUCGCCUUAAAACACUUGGCAGCCGGCGUAUUGAUUUCGGAGCGCAGUACAUCUCGCGCUUUGCACUCAUAACGACGACGUCCAAAAGUACAUUUUUACACUCUUGACCUCGGAUCAGGUAGGGAUACCCGCUGAACUUAAGCAUAUCAAUAAGCGGAGGA